rnacentral:rRNA from 1 species
AACGAACGCUGGCGGCAUGCCUAACACAUGCAAGUCGAACGAGACCUUCGGGUCUAGUGGCGCACGGGUGCGUAACGCGUGGGAACCUGCCCUUAGGUUCGGAAUAACUCCCCGAAAGGGGUGCUAAUACCGGAUAAUGUCUUCGGACCAAAGAUUUAUCGCCUUUGGAUGGGCCCGCGUUGGAUUAGCUAGUUGGUAGGGUAAAAGCCUACCAAGGCGACGAUCCAUAGCUGGUCUGAGAGGAUGAUCAGCCACACUGGGACUGAGACACGGCCCAGACUCCUACAGGAGGCAGCAGUGGGGAAUAUUGGACAAUGGGCGAAAGCCUGAUCCAGCAAUGCCGCGUGAGUGAUGAAGGCCUUAGGGUUGUAAAGCUCCUUUACCCGGGAUGAUAAUGACAGUACCGGGAGAAUAAGCUCCGGCUAACUCCGUG